UCUUCUCCUCUACACAGUAGAGCGUGGACGACCAUGUGCAGAGAGCAAAUCAGGAGGGAUGAUCUGGAGUCUCUUGGCUAUAUGAUUAUGUAUUUUCUUCAAGGAAGCUCCAUCAGGUUUUGGGCUCUAAGUGGCGAAGUUCUAAGUCACGACUCUUCACCAAGGUGGUUUGUUUGGUACAGUGGAGUACCAGCUUCACAGCAGAACCUUGAAGACACUGAUGAAACUUGUGCAGAUUCAAGAUAUCAUUUUGAUCAUGGAAGUGGUU